rnacentral:rRNA from 1 species
GACGAACGCUGGCGGCGUGCUUAACACAUGCAAGUCGAACGGUGAAGCGCCUUCCUUUUUGGUGGGUGUGGAUGAGUGGCGAACGGGUGAGUAACACGUGAGUAACCUGCCCCCUUCUUCUGGAUAACCGCAUGAAAGUGUGGCUAAUACGGGAUAUUCUGGGUCUGUCGCAUGAUGGGUCUGGGAAAGAUAUUGUUUCGGUGGGGGAUGGGCUCGCGGCCUAUCAGCUUGUUGGUGGGGUGGUGGCCUACCAAGGCGGUUACGGGUAGCGGGCCUGAGAGCAUAGCCGGCAUCAUCUGGACUGAGCCCAUGCCGGGACUCCUACGGGCGGCAGGAGUGCGGCAUCUUGCACAAUGGGCUGUAGUCUGAUGCAGCGUCGCCGCGUGAGGGAUGGAGGCCCGCUGGUUGUGAACCUCUUUCGCCAGUGAAGCAGGCCUGCCUCGUUUGUGGGUGGGUUGACGGUAGCUGAAUAAGAAGCGCCGGCUAACUACGUG